CCCCAAUGUUGAGGAUGGAAUGAAAAUUCUUUUUUAAAGUUGUUACACAGUAUAGUUACUGGAGUAGUCCCUACAUAAUGCCUAUUACUGACUUUUCAGAUGUUCCUCCUAUUACCACUUAUCCAGACCAACCUCCCUCUGGCCUAACCUUUCAGGUUCAGGUUAGCGUAUUAAUUGGUCUAUCCCUGUCUGAUAAUAUCCUUAGUUGUUAAGAGAGAGCACAACUUACCCCAGAACCCUCUUGCUCUGUCCUUGGCAUUAUUGAAAAAUGUCCUUUUUAAGGGGAAAAUGAGAGUAAAUUAAGCCAGGAACUCACAUAUAUUAAAUACCAUGUAAAUGAUUUUUGGAAAGACUACGAAAGAAAUGAUCCAUAGUUGGAAGUUUUCUCAAUGCAAUAUUCAAUUAACGAGGCUGUUGAUGUCAGAAUUCUAGGAGGGAUCAUUUGUGCUGCCCCAGCUUUUGCUGUCAUGGGUGGUGCUGGGAAUUGAUCCACCUUCCAAGGAUGUGCACAUACAUGUUUUUAAAGAUGGCAAAUACAUGAUCUAUAUUAGGACAUUAUGUUACUCCAUUGUCUGCACAUAAGGAAAUCAAUGAACCUCCUUUUUCUUCUCAUUUCAGAGUCCAGAGAUCCAUGUUAGCAGGACACCAAGAUAUGUGGUGGCAAAAUCUCUUGGGAAUCUUAUUUCUUAAAUGCAGGAACAUAUGCAAACAAGAUGAUCAGAAAUCUAGCAGCCACCUUUGGUCAAAUAGCCAAAAAGACAAAAAGCCAAAAAAAAAAAAAAAAAAAAAAGAAAAAAAGAAAGAAAAAGUAUUGCAACAGACAUCCUAAAUUCCUUAGCCCACGUAAUAAUAGAUAAAAGGGUUACCUGUAGUUUUUCUACUGACUAAAGAAGGAGGUAUUGGUGCUAAUAUUCACACUAUUUGUUGCACUUACGUCAUUACCCUUGGAGAGGUUUAGACAUGCUUAGGAAAAAACUUCUCAAAAGACACAACGGGCUCUAAGAUGUAACUUGUAACAUCUUGCUCCUUGACAGAAGGGAAGCUCUAGCCAAGACUGAAGUUCCUGCUACCAAGAGACAAUUGGGAUUCCCAGGAAUAGUGAUUUUCUGCUGCAUUUGGAUUCAUAGCAAAACCCCCUUAUGAAGCUCUUAAGGCAGGAGACUGUGAACCUCUAGAUUGGACUAAGGAAUGCUAUAAGGCACUCCAGGUUAUCAAAGAAAAACUGAUAACUGCUCUAGCUUUAUUUAUUUAUUUUUGGUCUGGUCAGCAGCAUGCAAAAGUUCCUGGGCCAGAGAUUGAACCCGUGCCACAGCGGUUAAAGAUCCAAUGAUAGAUCUUUAACUCCCAGGCCACCAUGGAACUCCUGCCCUGGUUUUAGGUCUUGCAUGUAUCAGAAAGCCUUCUGACUUACUUGUUCAUGAGAUGCAAGGAAUCAGCCUUGGAGCUGUAGCUCAGAACCUGGGUAGCCUAAGGAGGCCUGUUUCAUAUUUCUCAAAGCCAGUAGGUACACUUGCCAAGGGAUGGCCAGUCUGCCUUCAAGCUGUAGUGACUUCCGUGAUCUUUUACAAGAAGUGGAGAAAUUUAUACUAGGACCACCUAUGACUAUGCACAUACCUCACUGUAUUCUCCCCCAGCCCACCCUGAACAAAAGGGCAAAUGUGGGUUAACUUCAGGAAGAUUGGGAAAAUAUCAGGCUUAUAUUAUUGGAUAAUUCUACUGUUACUCUAAAAGCAGUCUCUGCCUUGAAUCUUGCCCCUUUGCUCCGGAUGGAUACUAAAGUGCCUAUACAUGGUGGUAUUCGGAUAAUCAAACGGGUCUAUUCCAGCCAUUCGACCUGAUGGAUUGGCCUUUGGAAGACCCUUUUCCAGACCUUGAGGUGUUCAUAAACAGGAGUAGCUUUAUGGACCAGGAAUGACACAAGCCUGGGUAGAUGAUGGUGACUGAUCAAGACACUGGAAGCAGAAGCCCUUCCACCAGGUACCUCCACACAAAAGGCGGAACUUAAAGCCCCAACCAAAGCCCUUUCUCGAGAUAAGGGUAAGAGUAAUUAUUUUCACUGAUUGUGAAUUUACUUUAUUGGUGGUCCAUGCCUGUGGGACCUUUUGAAGAAAGAAGACUUUUCAAUGCAGGGAAGAAGGAAAUUAAACAUGCCAAAGAAAUUUUAAACUUAUUAGAAACUGUCAUGGAGCAAAAAGAAUUGGCUAUUGUUUGCUGUCCUGGAUGUCAGAAAUUGACUGCUUAAGGGAAUAAUCCAGCAGAUUAAAUGGCAAAGCUAGCAGCCAUGACUAAAACACAUAGAUCUGCGAUUUGACAAGAGGCUAUCCAGAGUAUUCUCCUGAAGAUUUAGAAAAUGCCAGUGAAUGGGGAUUGAUGGGCAUCCUGGCCAUUUUCAGGAUGACAACUUAGAAGUAUACCAAGGAGGGGUAGAUUUAUAAUAGAUGAGGCAAAG
ensembl:lncRNA